UACGGGGGGGGCAAGCGUUGUUCGGAAUUACUGGGCGUAAAGGGCGCGUAGGCGGCUUUUCAAGUCGGGCGUGAAAUCUCCGGGCUUAACCCGGAAGGGUCGUUCGAUACUGUUGAGCUAGGGUGUGGAAGAGGCAACUAGAAUUCCGUGUGUAGCGGUGAAAUGCGUAGAUAUACGGAGGAAUACCUGAGGCGAAGGCGGGUUGCUGGGCCAACACUGACGCUGAGGCGCGAAAGCCAGGGGAGCAAACGGG
rnacentral:rRNA from 1 species